GAUCCUGGCUCAGGAUGAACGCUAGCUACAGGCUUAACACAUGCAAGUCGAGGGGAAACGACAUCGAAAGCUUGCUUUUGAUGGGCGUCGACCGGCGCACGGGUGAGUAACGCGUAUCCAACCUGCCCACCACUUGGGGAUAACCUUGCGAAAGUAAGACUAAUACCCAAUGAUAUCUCUAGAAGACAUCUGAAAGAGAUUAAAGAUUCAUCGGUGAUGGAUGGGGAUGCAU
rnacentral:rRNA from 1 species